rnacentral:rRNA from 1 species
GACGAACGCUGGCGGCGUGCUUAACACAUGCAAGUCGAACGGUGAACCUCUUCGGGGGGGCUCAGUGGGGAACGGAUGGGUAACACGUGGGCAACUAGCCCCCCGCCUUCUUUUAACUCCAAGAAAUUGAGGCUAAUGCCGGAUGUUCACCGCUUCCCUCAUGCGUGGUGGUGGAAGGGAUUUCCGGCUGGGGCUGGGCCUGCGGCCUAGCCGUAUGAUGGUGGGGUAGUGGUGUUCCAAGGCCACGACGGGUAGCCGGCCUGGGAGAGUGAGCGGGCACACUGGGACUGAGACACGGCGCAGACAGCUACGGGAGGCAGCGGUGGGGAAUAGUGCGCAGUGGGCGGAAGCGGGACGCGGCGACGCCGGGUGGGGGAUGACUGCCUUUGGGUUGUAAACGGCUGUGAGCAAGGACGAAGCGGUAGUGACGGUACCUGGAGAAGAAGCACCGGCUAACUACGUG